ACCAGACUCCUACGGGAGGCAGCAGUGAGGAAUAUUGGUCAAUGGGCGAGAGCCUGAACCAGCCAAGUCGCGUGAAGGAUGAAGGAUCUAUGGUUUGUAAACUUCUUUUAUAUGGGAAUAAAGUGAGGAACGUGUUCCUUUUUGUAUGUACCAUAUGAAUAAGCAUCGGCUAACUCCGUGCCAGCAGCCGCGGUAAUACGGAGGAUGCGAGCGUUAUCCGGAUUUAUUGGGUUUAAAGGGUGCGCAGGCGGAGGUGCAAGUCAGCGGUCAAAUUGCGGGGCUCAACCCCGUACUGCCGUUGAAACUGCAUCCCUUGAGUGCGCGGAAGGCAGGCGGAAUUCGUGGUGUAGCGGUGAAAUGCUUAGAUAUCACGAAGAACCCCGAUUGCGAAGGCAGCCUGCCGCAGCGUUACUGACGCUGAAGCUCGAAAGCGCGGGUAUCGAACAGGAUUAGAUACCCCCGUAAGA
rnacentral:rRNA from 1 species